ACCCACUCUUCUUCCCCCAACCGUCUCGGAUCGGAGCAGAGCAGAGGCUCUCCCUUGGCCUUCCUCCCUCUCGGCAGCAGGCUCGACCUUUGCAUGGCAGCAGUGGCUACCUCCAAGGGGCGGGUGAUCGCUGGGAGCCUCGUCGCGCGCGUCCUUGCCGGCAAGGCCGCCAACGCCUCCCCGAGGUAUGCUCACACGCCUCCUGUGAGCUCAAAGAAAGAAUCAGAGUACUAGCAUACGUACUUACGUUGGAAGUAGAUCAGUACCACUACUGCUGCUAGUUCAACAGUGCCUCCGAGAUCUAGUUGCUCCGGAGAUUUGUAAAUGGUUCCUUUUGCUGCUCUCACCUCGGCUGCCGUGGGUACUGGUUCCCCCAUCGGUUCGCCAUCACAAUCAUCAUCUUGGUAUGGAAAUUGAUUAACCCGUGUUCUGUGAAGCGGCGCUGGGGAUAGGUACGUACCGUCGUGCUGCGCUAGAACUUGCAACACAGUUUCCCAACCCAACCCAAAGUUAGAAAGAUUGUGUCUCGAGUUCUCAGUCACGUCCUCCCCGCCUUGGAAACGCUCACAAAACUUCUUUGUAAAGCAGGGCGCAAGUGCCUUUUUCUCUCUCUAAAAAAAGCUUCCGUUUCACAAACUUGUUUGGUCCCUGUAAUAAGAACAGCAAAAAUAUCUUUCAUCUCUCCUGCCCAUAUGCGUCGACGAUCCGUAGCAGCAGCACAUCAUAUGAGUAGGACGGAUGUCAAGAUAAAUCUGCAGAGCAGGAGAGAGCUCCACCACAGAAGAAGGCAGAGAAGGCCAGAUCCAUGGAGAUAUUUCUCUGCGCCUCCCAGUUGCGGCCGGCUCGUCGGAGAUGGCCAAGACAUCACCCGAGCCCCGGCGGCGAAGGGAUAGUGCAAGGAUAUUAUUCACGGCCCGGACGGGUCGGUCGCUCGUUUCUGUUUCUUUCUGGGAGAUUUUAUUGACGGCAGCGAAUGGGUGGACGGGUAGGUGCGGGGUGGUUGUCCGUCCGUCCGUCCGCCAUCUGCCGGCCUGAGCGCUCCCUUGGUUUUCACUCCAAGGAUGGGGCUGGUGCGAGGCGAGAGGUUGGUGGUGGCGCCCACGGUCGGGGUUGCCGUGAGAUCAAGGCGCGGAUGAGACCCUCGGGCCCGCGGUCUGGCCCUGCACGAUCCCACUUCUUCUGGGCUCCGGAUCUGAACCGGCCGGCGGGCGACGUGUCGUCCAUCGGGUCCCGGGGCGGACGUACUGGGUGCACGUACACGCUAGGGUGAGUAGGAUGAUGGCGCCGGUCUUAUCCACAAGACCCACCCACCCACCCACCGUCGUGCUGCCCCACCUUCUCCCGCCGUCUCUUCUUUGCUCACUGACCUAAGGCAGCCAGUGGAGUCCGGCCACAGCGCAAACGGCGUGCUUCGUGCCACCAUCAGUCACCACGCAUGGCCGGGCUCGUUCUAUGGUGCGUACCGAACUGAAAGAAAAAUUGGUUUAUGGGCGCCCACACGGCACGGCACGGCACUCUUUGCGUGAACUCGCCGUCCCGGGCACCAACAACACACUUUGUGCUGCCCACGGGAGCAGAAAAAAAUAAUAAAAAGAUGGAAAAGUGUAGCUUAAUGGCAAGCAAACGGACAGCGCACCGGUCAAGAUCUUAUGUACUCCCUCCGCCCGGUAAUAAGUGUAUUUUUUUCUUUUCUGUCAAUCAAACUAGUUAAACUUUGAUUAACUUUAUUGAAAAAGUGCUAGCAUUUAUGACAUCAGAUUAGUAUCAAUAGAUUUGCCUUUACAUGAGGUUUCCAAAUAUAUCAUUUUCAUGCCAUAUAUGUUGCUACUAUUUACUAUAAAAUUGGUCAAAUUUUUUAAAAAUUGACUAAGUACUAAUCUAUAUGUAUGCUUAUUUGUGGACGGAGGGAGUACAUAGUUAUAAUAACUUCAUUUAGUCAAUAAAAUCUUGGUAACACCCACCCACAUAUAUAGGACUUUUAAUUAACGCUCACUCAUUGGGCUGCCCUAUUGCUAGUCAAUGCAAUGGCUUAUAUAUAAUCAACUGACGCCGUGAUGCGUACGUGCAUUGUUUCAUCAUCGUUCUUUUGCAUCAUGAACGGAGUAUUUUCCUUACCAUCAAGUCAACGUGGUACCGUUGUGUAUGUAGGAUCCAACGACCUCAUUAACGAGCGAUCCGGUUUUGGUGUUUGGGUUUUGCAGGAGGGCGGUGCACGCGUCGGCCUACGACAAGAACGUGGACGAGCAGGUGCGCCCGGCCUUCGUGCCGGACGAUGUGAUCGGCGGCGCCGGGAGCCCAGACAAGUACUGGGGCCCUCACCCGACCACCGGCGUCUUCGGCCCGGCCGCGGUCGACCCCAAGCUGUCCGCCAGCCUCGCGGCGCCGGCCAGCGCCGCGAAUGGUGGCGGCGCCUCCGUGCUGGACCAGAAGGUGUGGUUCCGCCCGCUCGAGGACGUCGAGAAGCCCCCCGUCGCCUGAUCGCCGCCGGCGACCACAGCCCAGCUCGACAUCUCUAUCACUCUCCUUAGCUGGGCUCGACCACCUACUUAACUAUUAUCUCUAGUAGCGUGCUUGUGCUAUAGUACAGUCAUGGAAGGCACCAGAAGAAGAACCGGUAGUAGUGACGCGGUGUUGCUGCCUGGAAUAAGAACCUGUGAAAGAUGUGUGAUGAUGAUGACAGUGAUGUG
rnacentral:lncRNA from 1 species